rnacentral:rRNA from 1 species
GGGUUGUGAGGUUAAGCGACUAAGCGUACACGGUGGAUGCCCUGGCAGUCAGAGGCGAUGAAGGACGUGCUAAUCUGCGAUAAGCGUCGGUAAGGUGAUAUGAACCGUUAUAACCGGCGAUUUCCGAAUGGGGAAACCCAGUGUGAUUCGUCACACUAUCAUUAACUGAAUCCAUAGGUUAAUGAGGCGAACCGGGGGAACUGAAACAUCUAAGUACCCCGAGGAAAAGAAAUCAACCGAGAUUCCCCCAGUAGCGGCGAGCGAACGGGGAGCAGCCCAGAGCCUGAAUCAGUGUGUGUGUUAGUGGAAGCGUCUGGAAAGGCGCGCGAUACAGGGUGACAGCCCCGUACACAAAAAUGCACAUACUGUGAGCUCGAUGAGUAGGGCGGGACACGUGGUAUCCUGUCUGAAUAUGGGGGGACCAUCCUCCAAGGCUAAAUACUCCUGACUGACCGAUAGUGAACCAGUACCGUGAGGGAAAGGCGAAAAGAACCCCGGCGAGGGGAGUGAAAAAGAACCUGAAACCGUGUACGUACAAGCAGUGGGAGCACGCUUAGGCGUGUGACUGCGUACCUUUUGUAUAAUGGGUCAGCGACUUAUAUUCUGUAGCAAGGUUAACCGAAUAGGGGAGCCGAAGGGAAACCGAGUCUUAACUGGGCGUUAAGUUGCAGGGUAUAGACCCGAAACCCGGUGAUCUAGCCAUGGGCAGGUUGAAGGUUGGGUAACACUAACUGGAGGACCGAACCGACUAAUGUUGAAAAAUUAGCGGAUGACUUGUGGCUGGGGGUGAAAGGCCAAUCAAACCGGGAGAUAGCUGGUUCUCCCCGAAAGCUAUUUAGGUAGCGCCUCGUGAAUUCAUCUCCGGGGGUAGAGCACUGUUUCGGCAAGGGGGUCAUCCCGACUUACCAACCCGAUGCAAACUGCGAAUACCGGAGAAUGUUAUCACGGGAGACACACGGCGGGUGCUAACGUCCGUCGUGAAGAGGGAAACAACCCAGACCGCCAGCUAAGGUCCCAAAGUCAUGGUUAAGUGGGAAACGAUGUGGGAAGGCCCAGACAGCCAGGAUGUUGGCUUAGAAGCAGCCAUCAUUUAAAGAAAGCGUAAUAGCUCACUGGUCGAGUCGGCCUGCGCGGAAGAUGUAACGGGGCUAAACCAUGCACCGAAGCUGCGGCAGCGACGCUGAUGCGUUGUUGGGUAGGGGAGCGUUCUGUAAGCCUGUGAAGGUGUGCUGUGAGGCAUGCUGGAGGUAUCAGAAGUGCGAAUGCUGACAUAAGUAACGAUAAAGCGGGUGAAAAGCCCGCUCGCCGGAAGACCAAGGGUUCCUGUCCAACGUUAAUCGGGGCAGGGUGAGUCGACCCCUAAGGCGAGGCCGAAAGGCGUAGUCGAUGGGAAACAGGUUAAUAUUCCUGUACUUGGUGUUACUGCGAAGGGGGGACGGAGAAGGCUAUGUUGGCCGGGCGACGGUUGUCCCGGUUUAAGCGUGUAGGCUGGUUUUCCAGGCAAAUCCGGAAAAUCAAGGCUGAGGCGUGAUGACGAGGCACUACGGUGCUGAAGCAACAAAUGCCCUGCUUCCAGGAAAAGCCUCUAAGCAUCAGGUAACAUCAAAUCGUACCCCAAACCGACACAGGUGGUCAGGUAGAGAAUACCAAGGCGCUUGAGAGAACUCGGGUGAAGGAACUAGGCAAAAUGGUGCCGUAACUUCGGGAGAAGGCACGCUGAUAUGUAGGUGAAGCGACUUGCUCGUGGAGCUGAAAUCAGUCGAAGAUACCAGCUGGCUGCAACUGUUUAUUAAAAACACAGCACUGUGCAAACACGAAAGUGGACGUAUACGGUGUGACGCCUGCCCGGUGCCGGAAGGUUAAUUGAUGGGGUCAGCGCAAGCGAAGCUCUUGAUCGAAGCCCCGGUAAACGGCGGCCGUAACUAUAACGGUCCUAAGGUAGCGAAAUUCCUUGUCGGGUAAGUUCCGACCUGCACGAAUGGCGUAAUGAUGGCCAGGCUGUCUCCACCCGAGACUCAGUGAAAUUGAACUCGCUGUGAAGAUGCAGUGUACCCGCGGCAAGACGGAAAGACCCCGUGAACCUUUACUAUAGCUUGACACUGAACAUUGAGCCUUGAUGUGUAGGAUAGGUGGGAGGCUUUGAAGUGUGGACGCCAGUCUGCAUGGAGCCG